rnacentral:rRNA from 1 species
UACGUAGGGGGCUAGCGUUGUCCGGAUUUAUUGGGCGUAAAGAGCGUGUAGGCGGCCAAGUAGGUCCGUUGUGAAAACUGGAGGCUUAACCUCCAGCUGUCGAUGGAAACCAUUUGGCUAGAGUCCGGAAGAGGAGAGUGGAAUUCCUGGUGUAGCGGUGAAAUGCGCAGAUAUCAGGAAGAACACCCGUGGCGAAGGCGGCUCUCUGGGCCAUUACUGACGCUGAGGAGCGAAAGCGUGGGGAGCGAACAGG